rnacentral:rRNA from 1 species
GGCGUCGAGCGGCGGACGGGUGAGUAACACUUAGGAAUCUACCUAGUAGUGGGGGAUAGCUCGGGGAAACUCGAAUUAAUACCGCAUACGACCUACGGGAGAAAGGGGGCAGUUUACUGCUCUCGCUAUUAGAUGAGCCUAAGUCGGAUUAGCUAGAUGGUGGGGUAAAGGCCUACCAUGGCGACGAUCUGUAGCUGGUCUGAGAGGAUGAUCAGCCACACCGGGACUGAGACACGGCCCGGACUCCUACGGGAGGCAGCAGUGGGGAAUAUUGGACAAUGGGGGGAACCCUGAUCCAGCCAUGCCGCGUGUGUGAAGAAGGCCUUUUGGUUGUAAAGCACUUUAAGCAGUGAAGAAGACCUAACGGUUAAUACCCGUUAGCGAUGACAUUAGCUGCAGAAUAAGCACCGGCUAACUCUGUGCCAGCAGCCGCGGUAAUACAGAGGGUGCAAGCGUUAAUCGGAAUUACUGGGCGUAAAGCGAGCGUAGGUGGCUUGAUAAGUCAGAUGUGAAAUCCCCGGGCUUAACCUGGGAACUGCAUCUGAUACUGUUAAGCUAGAGUAGGUGAGAGGGAAGUAGAAUUCCAGGUGUAGCGGUGAAAUGCGUAGAGAUCUGGAGGAAUACCGAUGGCGAAGGCAGCUUCCUGGCAUCAUACUGACACUGA